rnacentral:lncRNA from 1 species
AUGCAGCGGCAGAGCACACAGCUCCUGAGCUUUGACCGAAGCCUGAAGGCCUCCAGCAAUCGAGGCCUCACCCUGAACCCCAGCCCCACUAAUUCCAAGAUGGAUGGGCUGAGGAGAUGGCGCGAGGCCGACCAAGGGCUUGCCACAGACUUCGUGAGGCGGCGCCAGGCAGCCUUAAGCAGGGAGGGGGCUAUGAGCAGCCGCCCAAACUGGGCUGGCCAGCAGCAGCAGGAGGAGGAGGAGGCGGAGGAGAUAGAGGUGGAGGUCGAGGCUCUGGCCUUGGCCACGGCCUCAGGCAGCCCCAGUGAGGCAGAGGAGCAGAGUGAGCUCGGGGCUCAGGCAGCAGCAGCACAAGAAGCAGCAGCAGCCGAGGUAGCAGCAGCCGAGGCAGCAGCAGUAGCAGCAGCAGAGGCCGAGGCUGAGGCUGAGGCAGCGGCCUUGGCCGACAGCGGCACCCUGGAGGACGACCAGAUGGAGCUGGAGGAUGAAGGCGACGCCAUGGAGGAGGAGGAGGCCGGCGACGCCGCCUCCUCAGCCUUUUCCUCAGAUCGUGGGCCCCAGACCAUAGUCGACGACCAGGGUUUCCAGGAGGGGGAGGAGGAGAUCGGCCUUGAGGAGGAGGGCGAGCGAGUGGCGGCGGCUGCGGCCUCGGCUGCAGCCCCCUUCCAGCAGCAGCUGCCCUUGGAGGGGGCAUUUGGAGGGGGCGGGAGCGCCUGCAGAAACGGGGGAGGAGAUGGCGGCUCCGGCCCCGGCUCCUUGCUGUUCGGUGCUGGGGUCGGGGCCCCUCCUCCCGGGGGGGCAAUAGCCUGGCUGGCCCAUGGGCGGGCGGGGUCCCCCUACACCGGGCCCCGAGGGAGCCACUGGAAGCGAGGUGUCAAGAGGCCUCGUGAGGAGCAGAGCCGGGGCUUCGCCAACGGCUUGGAAGGCAACCAGUUCGAGCCAGCGCAGGCUGCCGCGCUGCCUCAGCAGGCGCCCCAGCUCCCCGCGCUGCCCCUGCCAGCCCCGGCCCCUGAGGAGCCCUCCGCUUUCGGUCUGGGGAGGAGAAUGCGCCUGGUGCUGCUGGGCAACCGGGGCCCCAACUAG